rnacentral:rRNA from 1 species
AUGCACGCUGGCGGCGUGCCUAAUACCUGCCAGUCGAGCGAACAGACGAGGAGCUUGCUCCUCUGACGUUAGCGGCGGACGGGUGAGUAACACGUGGAUAACCUACCUAUAAGACUGGGAUAACUUCGGGAAACCGGAGCUAAUACCGGAUAAUAUAUUGAACCGCAUGGUUCAAUAGUGAAAGACGGUUUUGCUGUCACUUAUAGAUGGAUCCGCGCCGCAUUAGCUAGUUGGUAAGGUAACGGCUUACCAAGGCAACGAUGCGUAGCCGACCUGAGAGGGUGAUCGGCCACACUGGAACUGAGACACGGUCCAGACUCCUACGGGAGGCAGCAGUAGGGAAUCUUCCGCAAUGGGCGAAAGCCUGACGGAGCAACGCCGCGUGAGUGAUGAAGGUCUUCGGAUCGUAAAACUCUGUUAUUAGGGAAGAACAAAUGUGUAAGUAACUAUGCACGUCUUGACCGUACCUAAUCAGAAAGCCACGGCUAACUACGUG